rnacentral:rRNA from 1 species
CAGCAGCCGCGGUAAUUCGAAGGGGGCUAGCGUUGCUCGGAAUCACUGGGCGUAAAGGGUGCGUAGGCGGGUCUUUAAGUCAGGGGUGAAAUCCUGGAGCUCAACUCCAGAACUGCCUUUGAUACUGAAGAUCUUGAGUUCGGGAGAGGUGAGUGGAACUGCGAGUGUAGAGGUGAAAUUCGUAGAUAUUCGCAAGAACACCAGUGGCGAAGGCGGCUCACUGGCCCGAUACUGACGCUGAGGCACGAAAGCGUGGGGAGCAAACAGGAUUAGAUACCCCUGUAGUCCCUGUCUCUUAUAC